UCCGAUAUGGUCUAGUGGCUAGGAUUUCUCGCUCUCAUACCGUGUUGACUACGACACUACCAGGUCCGAGGAGGCCGGGGUUCAAUUCCCCGUGUCGGAA
rnacentral:tRNA from 1 species